rnacentral:rRNA from 1 species
GGUCCCCUGGGAGAACGCUUUGGGCGGCAUGCUUAACACAUGCAAGUCGAACCGGGAAGUGGUGUUUCCAGUGGCGACGGUGGAGUAACGCGUAAGAACCUGCCCUGGGAGGGGAAAACAACUGGAAAACGGUUGCUAAUACCCCGUAGGCUGAGGAGCAAAAGGAGAAAUCCGCCCAAGGAGGGGCUCGCGUAGGAUUAGCUAGUUGGUGAGGCCAAUAGCCUUACCAAGGCGAUUGAUCAGUAGCUGCGUCGAGAGGAUGAUAAGCCACACUGGGACUGAGACACGGCCCAGAAUCCACGGGGGAGGCAGCAGUGGGGAAUUUUUCGCAAUGGGCGAAAAGCCUGAACGGAGCAAUGCCGCUGGAGGUGGAAGGCCUAGGGUCGUCAAAUUCUUUUCUCGGAGAAGAAACAAUGACGGUAUCUGAGAAUAGCAUCGGCUAACUCUGUGCCAGCAGCAGCCCGGUAAGAAGAGGAUUGCAGCGUUAUCCGGAAUGAUUGGGCGUAAAGCGUCGUGUGGCUUUUCAAGUCCGCCGUCAAAUCCCAGGGAUCAACCUGGACAGCGGUGGAAAACUACCAAGCUGAUAACGGUAGGCGCCAGAGGGAAUUUCCGGUGGAGCGGUGAAAGGCAUGAGACGGAAAGAACCACCAACGGCGAAAGCAUAUGACUGGGCCGACACUGACAAACUGAGAGGACGAAAGCUAGGGGAGCAAAUGGAUUCGAGACCCCAGUAGUCCUAGCCGUAAACGAUGGAUACUGGUGCUGUGCGACUCGACCCGUGCAUAGUGACUGUAGACUAACGCGUUUAAGUAUCCGCCUGGGGAGUUACGUUAGCAAGGGAAUGAAACUCAAAGGAAUGCGGGGGGCCCGCACAAGCGGUGGAGCCAUGUGGUUUAAUGCGAUGCAAAAGCGAAGAACCUUACCAGGAUUGACAUGCCGCGAUCCUCUUGAGAAAAAGAAGCGGGGUGCCCCGGGAACGCGGACACAGGUGGAGUGCAUGGCUGUCGUCAGCUCGUGCCCGUAAGGUGUUGGGUUAAGUCUUCGCAACGAGCGCAAACACUCGUGUGUCCUUCAGUUGAAACUAUGAGUUGGAAACCACUGCACAGACCGGCCGGGGUUAAGCCGGAGGAAGGAGGAGGAUGAGGCAAAGUAUCAUGCCCCUUAGCCCUGGGACGACCACACGUGCUACAAUGGGCGGGACAACGGGUCGCGAUCUCCGCGAGGACGUGGAUAACUCCCAAAAAACCCGUCCUACAGUUACGGAUUGCAGGCUGCAACUCGCCGACUGAAGCAGGAUCGGCUAGUAAUCGCCGGUCAGGCCAUACGGCUGCGUGUGAAUCCGCCCCGGGCCUUGUUUAACACAGCCCGUCACACUAUAGGAGGCUGGCCAGGUUUUGAAGUCAUUACCCUUAACGUAGGAGGGGAUGCCUAAGGCUAGGCUUGCCGACUGGAAGUGACGUGUAACAAGGUAGCCGUACUGGAGGUGCGGCUG